rnacentral:rRNA from 1 species
AACGGGUGAGUAACACGUGGGCAAUCUGCCCUGCACUCUGGGACAAGCCCUGGAAACGGGGUCUAAUACCGGAUACAACCACUAGGGGCAUCUCUUGGUGGUGGAAAGCUCCGGCGGUGCAGGAUGAGCCCGCGGCCUAUCAGCUUGUUGGUGAGGUAAUGGCUCACCAAGGCGACGACGGGUAGCCGGCCUGAGAGGGCGACCGGCCACACUGGGACUGAGACACGGCCCAGACUCCUACGGGAGGCAGCAGUGGGGAAUAUUGCACAAUGGGCGAAAGCCUGAUGCAGCGACGCCGCGUGAGGGAUGACGGCCUUCGGGUUGUAAACCUCUUUCAGCAGGGAAGAAGCGAAAGUGACGGUACCUGCAGAAGAAGCGCCGGCUAACUACGUGCCAGCAGCCGCGGUAAUACGUAGGGCGCGAGCGUUGUCCGGAAUUAUUGGGCGUAAAGAGCUCGUAGGCGGCUUGUCACGUCGGUUGUGAAAGCCCGGGGCUUAACCCCGGGUCUGCAGUCGAUACGGGCAGGCUAGAGUUCGGUAGGGGAGAUCGGAAUUCCUGGUGUAGCGGUGAAAUGCGCAGAUAUCAGGAGGAACACCGGUGGCGAAGGCGGAUCUCUGGGCCGAUACUGACGCUGAGGAGCGAAAGCGUGGGGAGCGAACAGGAUUAGAUACCCUGGUAGUCCACGCCGUAAACGGUGGGCACUAGGUGUGGGCAACAUUCCCACGUUGUCCGUGCCGCAGCCUAAC